rnacentral:rRNA from 1 species
UACGGAGGGGGCGAGCGUUGUUCGGAAUUACUGGGCGUAAAGGGCGCGUAGGCGGCCUUCUAAGUCGAACGUGAAAUCCCUGGGCUCAACCCAGGAACUGCGUCCGAUACUGGAAGGCUUGAAUCCGGGAGAGGGAUGCGGAAUUCCAGGUGUAGCGGUGAAAUGCGUAGAUAUCUGGAGGAACACCGGUGGCGAAGGCGGCAUCCUGGACCGGCACUGACGCUGAGGCGCGAAAGCCAGGGGAGCAAACGGG